rnacentral:RNase_P_RNA from 1 species
UUGGAAGGGUGGAGGAUCGCUUUCGAUGUUGAUUCGUCGAGGGAGGAAAGUCCGAACACCACAGGGCGCGAUGCCGCGUAACCCUUGGGUUGCCAUGGGAUACACGCGGGCGUCGCAUUCGUAAGGAUGCGGCGACGGAAAGUGCCACAGAAAACAAACCGCCGCGGUUUCGGCCGUGGUAAGGGUGAAAAGGUGGGGCAAGAGCCCACCGCGCCAAGCGCAAGCAAGGCGGCACGGUAAACCCCAUCGGGUGCAAGACCAAAUAGGGGGUCAGGAGCGGCCCGCCCCGAGAUCGGAAACGAUCACGGCCCCGGGUUAGGUCGCAGCAGAUAAAUGGUCCUCUCCGCCGGAAACGGCGCAGACAAAAUUCGGCUUACAACUCUUCCAAGGUC